rnacentral:lncRNA from 1 species
GUUUUCAGAGGCGUGGAGGGAGCCCGAGAAGAGCAGAUGUUGACACCACCAUCACUGCCUGCAGCAGUGAGACCAGGGGCACAGUUUUUGUUGAAAGGGUCGACCAGGAAGCACUUCCUUGACUCUGUCCUAAAGCCUCUGGAGAGCCCUUAAAUUUGUGGUCCUUGAAGCUAUUGUAAAGGCUGGAGAUAAAUUGAGGAGCAAUGAGAAGUUUGCUGCGAGGGCACGUGAGCUGGGAGGUGGGAGGUGAAGCCCGAGCAGGAUUGGAGUUAGGCUGAUGGUCUAUACCACCUUCUCACUGAGUGAUUUUUACAUCUUGUUUUCAACAAAUCAGCAAAGACACUUUAAAUGCUGUCAUGAGCUGGCUGCAAGUGUUCAAGUGGUGCCACCAAUGCUCUUGGUUGUGCCCGGAUCGCGUGCUCCAGAGCAGAGCUCCUGUGCAGCCUGUUACCAUGCCCCAUGCCCUCCACCUCAGGAGGCUGGGCUCGGUGUUCCUCCUGCUGGCACCUGCUUCCCCCGGGCACAGGCAUGGCUAAUUUCACUCAGGUCUGGGCCGGCUUCCUUCCCGAACCUCUUACUGUUAAACAUGCUCUCCUCAUUCUGUCUCCCCUAUCAUGCCUGUUACCCCGUGUGACACUUGUCAUUCAUUUGUUUCAUUUUUAUAAUGUGAACUCUGUGGUGGCUUUGCUCAGUCCUGUCUCCGCUGUGCUCAGAAUGUGGCCUGACACUUAGCAGAGGCUCUGUGUUGAUUGUUGCUAUAGAAUGACACUGUUCUCUGAGUUCUUCCACAUGUAUUACUUUGUUUGAUUCUCAUUCCUUUUCUGAUUUGUGGAUGUAAAAAUUAUCUAAAAGACGAUAAAAGAAUUACCCACGAUAGUUAUUGCACAAGGAGGGAGAGGGACACGCAACCCCACGCUCUCCCCGCUACAGCGUUAACCUUCAGGAUGACACCACCCUCGACACUCACUUCAUGAUGGCCUGCACAUCUGACCUUGUGCAGGAGCCCGCAGCGUGGGAUUGAGCAGCCUCCUGCUCCAACCAGCUGACUGCCCCUCAGAGGGGACUGAGGUGACAAAACAGGAUCCCAUCAUUUGGUAAACAGGACUCAAGCAUGAAGUCUGAGGGGUGUGGGGAGGUGCAGGGUGGGUAGCAAAUGGCUGUGAAAAGCAAGAGACUUUCCACGGGCAAAGCUAAGUCUAGAUGUACCCAGAUUAGCGACUUUUCCUUAAAAGGUUUUUCCAGCCAGGAGCAAGGGACUGGGUGAAUCAUCCCUAAGACGGGUGACAGGAGGCAGGAAUAAAGCAUGAAUAAAGCAUCAGGAAGGGACUAGGAUUUAAAACUGGCCCCUCAAUGCUUCUACACUGCUGGUGAGAAUGUAAGUUAGUUCAGCCACUGUGGAAAGCUGUCUGGAGAGUUCUCAAAUAACUUAAACUAGAACUACCAUUUGACCUAGCAAUCCCAUUUACUGGGUAUAUGCCCAAAGGAAUACAAAAUAUUCUACCAUAAAGACACACACAGGCAUAUAUUCAUCACAGCACUGUUCACAAUAGCAAAGACCUAGAUGCCCAUCGAUGGUGGAUUGGAUAAAGAAAAUGUGGUGCAUAUACACCAUGGAAUACUGUGCAGCCACAGAAACGAAUGAAAUCAUGUCCAUUACAGCAACAUGGAUAGAGCUGGAGGCCAUUAUCCUAAACAAAUUAAUGCAGGAACAGAAAACUAAAUACUGCAUGUUCUUACUUAUAAGUGGGGGCUCAACAUUGAGUAGACAUGGACAUAAAGAUGGGAGCAGAGGACACUGGGGACUCCUGGUGGGGGGAGGAUGGGAGGAGGGUGAAGACAGAAAAACUACCUAUUGGGUAUUACGCUGAUUACCUGGGUGACAAAAUUAUUUGUAUACCAAAACCCCAUGAUAUGCAAUUUACUCAUGUAACAAACCUGCACACCUACCCCUUGAACCUAAAAUAAAAGUUGGAAAUAAAAAAAAAACUGGCUCCUCUAUCUGGGCUCCUCUCCCUUCUUAAGUCCUAGGAGAGUUGGCCAACGAGGCCCUGAGUCCAGACACGCCCCACCUUGGCCCAGUGUCCACCUGCACCUGCUCACAUUCCCAUGUGCCACCAUUCCUUGAUGCAGCUCACUCUCUAGACCAGUGGCUCCCAGCCACUGGGGUGCAUGAGAGUCUCCUGAGGAGCCGAGGUACAUGUGUGCUCAAGUCAGCAUCCAGACCCACUGGGUCCAGUCUCCAGGCUGGCCCAGUUUGAGAGGUGGGUUUAGAGAGUUUCUCUGCAAUAGCACUGGGAAUACCUACUGCUGAUGGAGCACCUAGAUGGAUGCUUAGACUCAGAGGUGACUCGGAGGGCUUCACAGACAUAAUCAUAAAGAUCCUUUGAACACUGAGGCUCAUGAAGGUCAAGUCACUCUCCCAAAGUCACUCAGCUGAGAAUAGCACUAGGAUAAGAACCCCUUAUUUUAUUUUAUUUUUUGAGACGGAGUCUCGUUCUGUCAUCCAGGCUGGAGUGCAGUAGCGCAAUCGGCUCACUGCAACCUCCACCUCCCAAGUUCAAGCAAUUCUCCUGCCUCAGCCUCCCGAGUAGCUGGGAUUACAGGCAUGUGCCACCAUGCCUGGCUACUUUUUUUGUAUUUUUAGUAGAGACGGGGUUUCACUAUGUUGGCCAGGCUGGUCUCGAACUUCUGACCUCGUGAUCCACCCGCCUUGGCCUCCCAGAGUGCUGGGAUUACAGGUGCAUGCCACCAUGCCCGGCUACUUUUUUGUAUUUUUGGUAGAGAUGGGGUUUCACCAUACUGGCCAGGCUGGUCUCGAACUCCUGACCUCAUGAUCGGCCCACCUCAGCCUCCCAAAGUGCUAGGAUUACAGGCAUGAGCCACCGCGCCAGGCAAGAACCCCUUAUUGACCCCUUAGACCUUCUCUCAACCAUCACACCAGCUUGCCAUGGAGCCCAGGCUUAAUUUACCUUGGUAUCCCAGCACCCCCAAGCCCAGAGAAGCACGGGGCUUGGUAUAUGGUGGGUGUUUGCUAUAGACCAAAUGUUUGUCUUCAAGUUCAGGUGUUGAAGCCUGAUCCCCAGUGGGAUGAUACCUGGAGGUGGGACCUUUGGGAGGUGCUCGGGUCAUGACAGUGGAGCCCUCACAAAUAAGAUUAGUACUAUCAUAAAAGAGACACUAAAGAGCUGCCUUGCCCCUUCCUUCAGGCAUGUUGCUGUUACUCAAGUCCUGAGGUUUCUUGCAAGUACACCUUUUCUUCUAGCUUUCAGAGCCCUUUAUCAUUGUCUGCUGAAUAGUUUCCAAGGUACUUAGUUGUAUUUAGAGGAGCAGAGCAGGGAAAAAUGAGUUUAACCAUCUUGUUCCAGAACUGGAAGUCGGCAGAGCCAGUCUGAUAGUGUUCUUUUGAGGAUACAGUUCAUUAAGGUUGGAAAAGAUGCUGGUGACUGCAGCCUUUGCUGAUCCACUUUGCUUGUCAGGGAGAGGCUGGUGGCUCCACCUUCCCAGGAACUGUGCUGUGAAGAUCUGAAGACAGGCACGGGCUCAGGCACCGCUUGUCUGGAAUGUCAAUUUGAAACUUAAAAAGCAGCGACCAUCCAGUCAUUUAUUUCCCUCCAUUCCCAAUGAUGUACACACGACUAAGAAGGAAAAAAAAAAAAGGCGCACACCUCAGCCUUCAUUCUCAUUGGAAC